rnacentral:rRNA from 1 species
GAUGAACGCUAGCGGCAGGCUUAACACAUGCAAGUCGAGGGGUAUUUAUCUUCGGAUAGAGAGACCGGCGCACGGGUGCGUAACGCGUAUGCAAUCUACCUUUUACAGAGGGAUAGCCCAGAGAAAUUUGGAUUAAUACCUCAUAGUAUAUAGACUCGGCAUCGAGAUUAUAUUAAAGUCACAACGGUAAAAGAUGAGCAUGCGUCCCAUUAGCUAGUUGGUAAGGGAACGGCUUACCAAGGCUACGAUGGGUAGGGGUCCUGAGAGGGAGAUCCCCCACACUGGUACUGAGACACGGCCCAGACUCCUACGGGAGGCAGCAGUGAGGAAUAUUGGACACUGGGCGCAAGCCUGAUCCAGCCAUGCCGCGUGCAGGAUGACGGUCCUAUGGAUUGUAAACUGCUUUUAUACGAGAAGAAACACUGCUACGUGUAGCAGCUUGACGGUAUCGUAAGAAUAAGGAUCGGCUAACUCCGUG